CCUCGAUGGUGUUUUCAUUGGUGGGGGGUGUCGUAAGUAUUUUGCUCCUUCGAUCUCCAUCAGGAUCUAUGCACGAGGAGCAGAAAGAGGAGUAUAGGAGUCAUAUCUGUCAUAGUUCAGCUUCGGACUCUGUCUUCGAGGUGAAGCUUGCUUAUUGACAGUUAGUCUACUUGAUUCGACUAGAGCUUCAUUUUUCUUUUGUUUCUUCUUCUGACUUUUUCUGUCUGUUUCGUGUC
rnacentral:lncRNA from 1 species